UUAUAGCCCCGAUGGGAACGGCAUCCCCCUCGUCGCCUGGCAAGGUGACGAGGGGAUACAGUGGACAGCGGGUAGUGUU
rnacentral:sRNA from 1 species